UACGUAGGUGGCAAGCGUUGUCCGGAUUCACUGGGCGUAAAGGAUGCGUAGGCGGACAUUUAAGUCAGAUGUGAAAUACCCGAGCUUAACUUGGGUGCUGCAUUUGAAACUGGGUGUCUAGAGUGCAGGAGAGGUAAGUGGAAUUCCUAGUGUAGCGGUGAAAUGCGUAGAGAUUAGGAAGAACACCAGUGGCGAAGGCGACUUACUGGACUGUAACUGACGCUGAGGCAUGAAAGCGUGGGGAGCAAACAGG
rnacentral:rRNA from 1 species